rnacentral:rRNA from 1 species
CAGCCGCCGCGGUAAUGCGAAGGGUGCAAGCGUUAAUCGGAAUUACUGGGCGUAAAGCGUGCGUAGGCGGUGAGUUAAGUCUGCUGUGAAAUCUCCGGGCUCAACCUGGGAAUGGCAGUGGAUACUGGCUCGCUAGAGUGUGUCAGAGGAUGGUGGAAUUCCCGGUGUAGCGGUGAAAUGCGUAGAGAUCGGGAGGAACAUCAGUGGCGAAGGCGACUAUCUGGGCCAACACUGACACUGAGGCACGAAAGCGUGGGGAGCAAACAGGAUUAGAACCCCUGUAGUCCCUGUCUCUUAUACA